UAGUCAUACAUGUGUAAGAAACAUGUAAAAAACUGAUAAAAACCAAGGCAAAGGACACUACAAUGGUGCAGGUACAAAAAAAAAUAAUGCUGACAACAGGACCAAUAGAAAUUUCUGUUAAAAAAUAAAAGGCUAACAAUUUUUUCAAAGGUUCUCAACAGCUUGAAAAAUGGACUUGAUAAUUUGAAAUAUCUUCUUUGUAAUUUAUUUUGAUCUUUUUAUCAGAGUGUAGGGUAGGUAGAGAUACCCCUGAUACCAGUAAACCCAUGGUAUCUUUCAACUUAUAAAUAUUUUUUUAUGUUUAAUAAUCUGAUUUCUAUGCUCACUUUUCAACAAGAUCGUUUUUAACUCUAUAAUUUUAACAAUAGAAAUAAAUAGAAAUUGAGGCAUACAGACACUCUUCAUUUUAAAUUAGUAUUUAAAACUCCCUGAACAUCUGAAUUUCAUUUGUUUUGACUUCUAGGCUGAGUGGAGGACAUUUUCACUGGGAGACACUCCGGUGAAAUGAAGAUUUAAGGAUUUGAGAACCACUCACCAAUAUAAGAGAGCCAUGUGGCUGACAGGGUCUUGAUGCUCUGGCCAGGUGUCAGGCCUGUGCCUCUGAGGUGAGAGAGCCAAGUUCAGGACAAUGGACCAUCAGAGACCUCCCGGCCCCAUGUAAUAUCAAACGGUGAAAGCUUGCCCAGAGAUCUCCAUCUCAACGCUAAGACCCAGCUCCACUAAAUGACCAGCAAGCUACAGUGCUGGACACCCUAUGCCAAACAACUAUCAAGACAGGAACACAACCCCACCCAUUAGCAGAGAGGCUGCCUAAAAUCAUAGUAAGGUCACAGACACCCCAAAACACACCACCAGACGCGGUCCUGCCCACCAGAAACACAAGAUCCAGUCUCAUUCACAAGAACAC